rnacentral:rRNA from 1 species
AGAUUGAACGCUGGCGGCAGGCCUAACACAUGCAAGUCGAGCGGUAGAGAGGUGCUUGCAUCUCUUGAGAGCGGCGGACGGGUGAGUAAUGCCUAGGAAUCUGCCUAGUGGUGGGGGAUAACGUUCGGAAACGGACGCUAAUACCGCAUACGUCCUACGGGAGAAAGCGGGGGACCUUCGGGCCUCGCGCCAUUAGAUGAGCCUAGGUCGGAUUAGCUAGUUGGUGAGGUAAUGGCUCACCAAGGCGACGAUCCGUAACUGGUCUGAGAGGAUGAUCAGUCACACUGGAACUGAGACACGGUCCAAGACUCCGUACGGGGAGCAGCA